rnacentral:rRNA from 1 species
CCUACGGGUGGCAGCAGUGAGGAAUAUUGGUCAAUGGGCGCAAGCCUGAACCAGCCAAGUCGCGUGAGGGAAGACGGCCCUACGGGUUGUAAACCUCUUUUGCCGGGGAGCAAGCCUGAGCACGUGUGCCCAGGCGGAGAGUACCCGGAGAAAAAGCAUCGGCUAACUCCGUGCCAGCAGCCGCGGUAAUACGGAGGAUGCGAGCGUUAUCCGGAUUUAUUGGGUUUAAAGGGUGCGUAGGCGGUCCGUUAAGUCAGCGGUAAAAUUGCGGGGCUCAACCCCGUCGAGCCGUUGAAACUGGCAGACUUGAGUUGGCGAGAAGUACGCGGAAUGCGCGGUGUAGCGGUGAAAUGCAUAGAUAUCGCGCAGAACUCCGAUUGCGAAGGCAGCGUACCGGCGCCAGACUGACGCUGAGGCACGAAAGCGUGGGGAUCGAACAGGAUUAGAUACCCUUGUAGUC